ensembl:lncRNA
UCCCGGCCUUUCCAUCCCCGCUGAUUCCCUCGUUCCGCCGAGGGGCUUUCUUUGAACGCCUCUUGCACUUCACAGCCUCGCGGAAGGCCUCAGCUGCUGAUGCGGGAAGAGCCGUAGUGGCCUGAGCCUCCCAUCACGGAACCACGGAACGGCCUGGAUUGCUAGGGACCCUGAAGCUGGCCUAGUUCCAGCCUCGCUGCCGUGCCAUCUUCUGCUAGACCUGGUUGCUCAGAGCCCCAUCCCACCUGGGCUUGAAUACCUCACAGGAUUGCGGGCAUCCGUAGCACUUGUACCACAUCCUCAGGUGCAAACACCCUGACUGCAGAUGACCAUGGACCUGUAGCUGACCAAACACAGUUGGAGCCAGCAGAGCAUGUGAGCCUUGCUUCUGAGGAGACCAACCCAGGCGAGCAGCUGCCGGGAGAGGAGAUUUCAGCCACGAUCCGGAACGUGGAGGGGAAGACAGAGUCGGUCAGUAAAAGGGAGGAGCCGGAGGGCACCGAGCCCCUGCCUGCAGCAGAGGAGGAGAGCUCCGAGCUGCUCUCUGUGUGGCGAGAGGAGAGCAGGGGGCCUUCACCGCCAGCGCCAGGAGAAGAUGCUGGGGCACCAUCUCCAGACCCAGCAGAGGACAGUGGGCUGGUAGAGGGCAGUGACAGCUCUGUAGUGGAAGUCAUCGAGAAAGUACAUAUUACUGAAGACGACCACCUCAUUGAGGGUAAUAUUUGUGCUUUUAUAAAUUUGCCUCCAGGGAGUUCUGUGUGGGUCCUUUUGGCUUUAAUAAGAGCCUCAAAUGAGCUUCUGGAGUCAGAAUUUGAUCGAGGGAGUCUGUAUGAUGUGAGGCAUAGAAGAACGUGGCUGGGUAAGCCUCGGAUUUACAAGUCCAAGCUGUAAUAAAUUUAAUCAGCAUUUUCACCUCUGCUAUUUCAUUUCACGUCCUUUUUGUUCUUAGCAGAUCAAAUGUCCCACCAUACCCCUCAUUUAAAACAUUGUGUCUCUUGGCAGCUCAGACAUUUUCCUUAAUAUUUGCACAGCCCAAAGGCUCAAUUACUUAGUCACAUGUAUUAAUUAUAAACCAGCUGCCCUUGCACACAUAAAGCUGAAUGUAGAAGAAAAAGAUCUCUUCAAUGCACACUUGGCAUCUCCAGUGUGUCCCGGCAGCUUGCCUACAAGACAAGCAGAAUAGAAGUACUAGUGGAGAGACAUAGGGCUGUCUUUGCACCAGUGCUUGGAGAUGGCUGGGUGGGGAGAGGGGCUGUGUGGGGAAGCAGUAGUGUCUGAGGUGACAGGGAUUUCCAUGUGCUGCGGAGGAACCUUUAGCAGGAGGUGGAAAUUGCAGGCUAUGCUCCCCUUUGGGUUAGUGCUCAGAGAACACGGACUGCAGAAGAUGAACACUUGACAGGAGGAAUCAAAUUUCUCCUAAAAGAUACAAAGUAACUCACUAAGGAAUCAGAUGCAUUCCUGGGGUAGCUCUUCUUCAGGGAAUAAAAAGGUGAAGCACAUGAGGAGUAUUUCUCUGCAAGGAGACAGCCUCACUCCACUUUGGCCUUGAAGAAGUGCGAGGUGCAGAAGGACUGAUCCGUGUGAAGUCCAGAGCCAGAUACUGGAGACUGCCACUGCCGCUACUCCCGUGGCUUAGUGCUGCUUGUCUCUGAACUGGCUCUAUGAAUCUCAUUCUUUGCUCAUCCUUUGUAGGUAGGCAUGGUUGUUGGAUUGCUUUGUUGUUUCAUGUGUCGCUUCAUGAAAGAAUUUUGUCCUCUACAUAAUAAUCUAUCCUUUGGAAUAAAGCCUUGUUUUAUGUAAGCAGUAAAUGACAGAUUGCUCACCUGUUAAACACAGAUCCUGCCCAGCUGCAAACUCCAAUUCCUUUAUGCACAACUGAUAAGCCUCAGGGCAGUGCCAGAGGCAGAGCAGCACACCCUGGACCUUGUGCUGUCACCUCUCAUCAGUGGGAACAUGUUUACACUUGUCUGUCUGUCUGAAGAUGAGUUGUGAGGCUUUUAGCACCAAGUGAUGUGUGCAGGGUGAGUGAAUGAAGCUUUUGGGGAAAAGAGUUUUGCUCCUAUUAUUUCCAAGGUAGCAUUAAUACCUUAACUUGAGUACAUUAUUUUCCCAGAGGCAUCUGAUGAAAAAGGGAUUUUCUGUUUUUAUGCUAUGGUAUAUAUGAUACUUAGCAUUUGUUUUGCUUUCCCUUUGUGCUUCCAUAGCUAUGGGAGGAAAUUAGUUAGGCAGCAGCUUCUCUAGGAAAGCAGGGCUUCAGCCAGACUUGCAUGUUACCAUGCUUUCUAUUUAUGGUUUUGGUUUUUUUGUUUGUUUUUUUUUUUUUCCCCGGUUGCAAAUAAAACUGCACAUCUACGAAAUAAAAUACAGGAAAAAAUAAUUCAUGAUUUCCUUUGGAUACAGCACCAAGGGGAUUUUUUUUUAUGAAAGCAUUAGGAGAACUUCAUGGGCAUGAGGCAACCAUAUAGCUGAUGAUGAAAAGUGUUUGUUUUCCUGUUUGUUCUCUCUGGGUUCAUUCAGGGGGUACCUUGAUAACAGGCAUUGGAGAGCUUACAAACCAAAAAGGUGCUUUUUUUUAGUGGAUCCUAAUUUGAUCUCCAUGGUUACCAUUCCCAGGUGAGACGGGAGAACGGGUGGAAACUGAGCUGCUCAGUGAGACAGUAAGUGAAGGGCCUGAAACAAAAGAAGAAGAAACAGGAGAAGCUGUGGAUAGUGCAGCAGCGACAGAGAUAGGUAUGUUGACAGAGGAGGGAAGGACCACAUGGGUUAUUGUUUAAGAGACAGCAAAGACUGUCCUGUCCUUAUUGAGCAUAUCUUGUUAUUCCCCUGUAGGCAUACAGCUGCUUUCUGCAUUUUUACACAAGAGGGUCAAAGAUACUUUACAGUAAAAGACAUUUUUGGAAGCAAUCAAUUGGAAGUCAUGCUUUUUACAUGGGUCAUCUUUAUAGAAUACGCAAGCCUUAUGAGUGAUAACUUUUCCCUCUUUGGGAAAAAUGAUAGACUGUAACAUGCAGUCUUGGAAAAUAAAAAAA